rnacentral:lncRNA from 1 species
UCGCAAUAUGUCGCUUAGAUAUUUCUCAUAUGGUAUCGUAUAGUUAAUGCGCUUUUAAAUUUCACCCUGCUAAGGCGAACCAUUUUCUAUGUAAGAGUUAUCUCCCUUUUCACUGUUUAUCCUCUGUGUGCAUCUCCUUCGUAACAAAACAACAUAGCGACAAAAUUCUUUUUACAAAUUAUUCGUUACAUCCUCAGUAAUUUUUGGC